rnacentral:sRNA from 1 species
GCCUCUGUUGUUGUUGUGCUGAAGGUGGAUCUUUGGUUGGAGUUUUCUUUGGUGUUUUCUUCCCCAGUAUUGGGGACGCAGGCUUGGGACUCUGUUAUAGUCAGCCUGAUUUGUUUUAGUAUGGUCCGUACAUCCAUGGCAUUGUGAAUGAUUGUGUGUGGGUUUUGAGAGCCCUGAUCAAAUUGUGGCACCGAGCUUAAGCAUAAAUUGCCGCACUCGACCGAGACGAAUCGUCAUAGGAGACCUGAAAACUGAUCUGCAACGUCACGAGACCAAUAGCUCUUUGCCACGUCACAGUGAGUUCACUGCAAAUGUUCCACUACAGAGAAAGUAGAAAAUGUAAUAUCUAGUUGUGGAUUACAGAAUUUUGCACGGAUAUUUGACUUAAAAUCAUCUAUAUUUAUUUACUGAGAGAACCUGUGGUCCAAGGAGUUCCACAAAUAUAUGUACAUAACUGAUCACUGUUGUGUUAUAUGCUACUAUUCCAAUGUGUAUCAAACAUCCUUUGGGGAAAAUC